rnacentral:rRNA from 1 species
UACGUAGGGGGCAAGCGUUGUCCGGAAUCAUUGGGCGUAAAGAGCGUGUAGGCGGCCCGGUAAGUCCGCUGUGAAAGUCCAGGGCUCAACCCUGGGAUGCCGGUGGAUACUGUCGGGCUCGAGUCCGGAAGAGGAGUGUGGAAUUCCUGGUGUAGCGGUGAAGUGCGCAGAUAUCAGGAGGAACACCAAUGGCGAAGGCAGCACUCUGGGACGUGACUGACGCUGAGACGCGAAAGCGUGGGGAGCAAACAGG